rnacentral:lncRNA from 1 species
UUUUGGACCUUUUAGAGUUUCUAUUUUGUAUGUUCUUUAUGCAAUUUCAUUUUUUCCUUUAAUGGUUUUGUUUUAGACCUGAACCUAACUCAUUAUUUUUGCUAAUAUUGGGAAGGCUUUAAAAUAUUAUUAGCUAAUUUUAUAUAACCCCUUUCAAAUUUAUAAAUCACUUCCUAUAAGUCAUCUCAUUUAAUAAUAAUAGCUAACAUUUAUAUUAUCCAGGCUUCUAGGUGGUGCAGUGGAUAGAGCACUGAACUUGGAAGCAGGAAGACUCACAUUCAUAAUUCAAAUGCAGCUUGCUUCAGUUCCUUGCCUGUAAAACAAUCUGGAGAAGAAAAUGAGAGAAGAAGGGAAAGGGAGAUAUCAGGCCAUUAGGGACAUCCACAGAUGAAGAAACUGAAGUAGAUAGAGGAAAAGUGACUUGCCUGGAGUUCUACAAAUAGUAAGUUUCUAAGGCUAGAUUUGAAUUCAACUCUAUACAAUGAAUACAACAUUCUG